CCGAGGGCGAGAGAAGAAUGGUGGUCGAUCCAAUACAGUUGACUAAUCAGCUAAAUCGGUCGACGACGAGCUGAUACCUCCAUGGCGGAAGGCGGAGGUCGAGGACGAGGACGAGGACGGAGACUGACAUAGAGGUCGGAGAAGAUCGAUGUUCAAAAUUCAUAUCCGAAGUCCUAUUUUGAAAAAAAAUUAGAGUUUCGGGAUUUUUUGCAAAAAAUACUUUGUACUGCUGCUCCAACAUUUUCCCUGGGAUGGAGGGAGUACAAGAUUAAGAUGUCUAUAAAAAAACCUAAUAGCUAGAUAAUCGUCUUUAGUCAACAUCGACACCGGCCUAUUUUGCUAUGCGUUUGCUGUUUUGCGUGUGAGCUGGUUGCUGUACGUUUUCAUGUCCAGGCAUAGAUGUGUGUGUUUACUGUUUUGCGUGUAAGCUGCUUGCUGCAUGCUGUUAUGGACAAACUCAAUAAUUGCACAUGUUCACGGGUGUGCAAAUCUGCCUAUCAAUAAUAGAGCGUAAGAGGAUAAGAUGAAAGUUGUGAGUUCAACAAACUGUAGCACCCGUGACUACCAAUUCUAGUCACCUUCCUGCA